rnacentral:rRNA from 1 species
GAUGAACGCUGGCGGCGUGCCUAAUACAUGCAAGUCGAGCGAACAGACGAGGAGCUUGCUCCUCUGACGUUAGCGGCGGACGGGUGAGUAACACGUGGAUAACCUACCUAUAAGACUGGGAUAACUUCGGGAAACCGGAGCUAAUACCGGAUAACAUGUUGAACCGCAUGGUUCAACAGUGAAAGACGGUCUUGCUGUCACUUAUAGAUGGAUCCGCGCCGCAUUAGCUAGUUGGUAAGGUAACGGCUUACCAAGGCUACGAUGCGUAGCCGACCUGAGAGGGUGAUCGGCCACACUGGAACUGAGACACGGUCCAGACUCCUACGGGAGGCAGCAGUAGGGAAUCUUCCGCAAAGGGCGAAAGCCUGACGGAGCAACGCCGCGUGAGUGAAGAAGGUCUUCGGAUCGUAAAACUCUGUUAUUAGGGAAGAACAAAUGUGUAAGUAACUAUGCACGUCUUGACGGUACCUAAUCAGAAAGCCACGGCUAACUACGUG